CAGCUUUCAGGUUCUUCUUUAAAACGCCCUUCAGCUCACCUGACAGAGCAGUCUCCUCUUGGAAAAUUACCAGCAAAUAUGGCAAAUGAUAUAACCAUGGAGCCACUGCUGCACAGCAGCUAUGCAAUUAGCAUGAACUUUAUAACUGACUGCUUAAUUUUACAUCUGUAUAAAUUUUGUCAUAAAAUAUAUAAAUGAGAAGUUUUUACGUCAGAGGUAUUUUGUAACAGAGCAAUUCCUUUGCAAAGCUAUUUUCUUUCCUUAGAAAGCUCACCGGAAAGGAAGCUGUGAACAUCUUUAUGUCUUUACACAUUUUGAAUGUUCCAGUUCCCAGUUCUGUCAGAUUCUGACCAAUUUCAGUACAGAAUAUAGUUGCUAGUUUUUUAGUACUUUUCCUCCAUAUGUCUUAAAAUAUACAUACAUCCCUAGCAGAGAAAAAGCUGGUAAAAGACACUUUCUUGCAUUCAUAUAGGCACAUGACUCAGAAGAGUAAACCAAGAUUUGGCAGCUUACUGUUGAGCUCUACUAUGAAAGUAUUAAAUAUUAGUGCCUUUCUAGAUUAGUCUGGCAUUAUACAUCUUUAUUGCAUCUUCGUAUUGAAAAGCAAGGUGACAGAACCUGCUUGAAGUCUCUCUGUCUUUUAUAUUCUUAAAAUAUGGUGAUAUAAUAACACCUCAAAAAAUAGAAAAUAAUCAAUUCACCGUACAGUAUCCUUUCCUGCAGGCCUUACAGUUUGCAGAAGGUUAACAGAGUCCAGUGCUGCAAUCAAACAGGUCCAUCUCCAGUCACAGAGAAAAUGUAACUUGGAUGUCACAAAGAGGCAUCGUGCAUCUGAUCUCAUCCUUGCACAACUCCAAAAAGAGAUAUCACCUCUAUCAUAGCUGCUUCAUUUCCUAAUCCAUGGGCUACAGUUUUAGAUGUACUAGUUAGAAGAUACACCACGUUACUCUCUUGUCUCUGUUACAAUGUCAGAUCCUCAUUUGGGUUUCCACCAGGAUUCAUUCAGCUCUGGACUGUGGAGGAACUUCAAUGCCACAUGGGUCUCCUUCUCACCAUGACUUCCUUCCACGUCACAGGUAGAAAGCCACACUGAGCCAUAACCAGAAAGAAGAUGGGGAUGGGCAGGGCAGACUGCUCUGACCAGCACUAAAGAAGCUGAUAGAAGCCACCUUAAUAAGUCAGAGCAUAGCGACCCACCUAAACCAAAAAUUAAUAGCUUUCUUGCCAGUGAAAAUCAGUGCAACAGCAGAUAUUAAACAAAAGGUAGCAAAAUUGUGAGUAACUUCCUUCAGUUGGCCUGGGCCAUAUUCAGUCCAGCUACCUAGAGAGGAAAGGCUCCACACUUCCUUUGCUAAUUCUUAAACUCCCCAAUCUGGGGGAGGUUUGCAGUGAGAUUUGUUAUUUUUUCAUUCACUUUCUUGUUUGCCAGUUAUCUAAAAAUACAAUGACUUCUUUGUAGGAAAAAGUUAACGUGCUGUUUUCUGAGACAGACUAAAGACCUUCAUUCAUUCUGUAGCGAACAUGCUCAAGUCCUGCUGGCUUUGGUUGCUGAGCUAGGAUUUAUCUAGCUACUGCUAGCAGCGGGUGGCAAAUAUAAUAAAAAGGAAAAGCAAUCAGUUAAGCA
ensembl:lncRNA